GCAUAUCAAUAAGCGGAGGAAAAGAAACCAACAGGGAUUGCCCUAGUAACGGCGAAGUGAAGCGGCAACAGCUCAAAUUUGAAAUCUGGCCUUCUGGUCCGAGUUGUAAUUUGUAGAGGAUGAUUUUGGUUAGGUACCUUCCGAGUUCCUUGGAACAGGACGCCUUAGAGGGUGAGAGCCCCGUACGGUUGGAUGCCGAGCCUCUGUAAAUCUCCUUCGACGAGUCGAGUAGUUUGGGAAUGCUGCUCUAAAUGGGAGGUAAAUUUCUUCUAAAGCUAAAUACCGGCCAGAGACCGAUAGCGCACAAGUAGAGUGAUCGAAAGAUGAAAAGCACUUUGAAAAGAGGGUUAAAUAGUACGUGAAAUUGUUGAAAGGGAAGGAUUUAUGACCAGACCUUUGCCUUGCGGAUCAUCCGGUGUUCUCACCGGUGCACUUCGCUUGGUUGAGGCCAGCAUCAGUUUUGGCGGCGGGAUAAAGACUUCAGGAACGUGACUCCCCCGGGAGUGUUAUAGCCUGCUGUGUAAUACCGCCGCUGGGACUGAGGACCGCGCUUCGGCUAGGAUGCUGGCAUAAUGGUCAUCAAUCACCCGUCUUGAAACACGGACCAAGGAGUCGAACAUUUAUGCGAGUUUUUGGGUGUUAAACCCUCAAGCGUAAUGAAAGUGAACGGAGGUGAGAGCCCUUACGGGUGCAUCAUCGACCGAUCCUGAUGUCUUCGGAUGGAUUUGAGUAAGAGCAUAACUGUUCGGACCCGAAAGAUGGUGAACUAUGCGUGGAUAGGGUGAAGCCAGAGGAAACUCUGGUGGAGGCUCGCAGCGGUUCUGACGUGCAAAUCGAUCGUCAAAUCUGCGCAUGGGGGCGAAAGACUAAUCGAACCAUCUAGUAGCUGGUUACCGC
rnacentral:rRNA from 1 species